rnacentral:rRNA from 1 species
AGUGAACGCUGGCGGCAGGCCUAACACAUGCAAGUCGAGCGGCAGCGCGGGGGCAACCCUGGCGGCGAGCGGCGGACGGGUGAGGAAUUCGUCGGAAUCUGCCUUUUUGUGGGGGAUAACGUAGGGAAACUUACGCUAAUACCGCAUACGUCCUACGGGAGAAAGUGGGGGACCGCAAGGCCUCACGCAGAAAGAUGAGCCGACGACCGAUUAGCUAGUUGGUGGGGUAAAGGCCCACCAAGGCGACGAUCGGUAGCUGGUCUGAGAGGAUGAUCAGCCACACUGGGACUGAGACACGGCCCAGACUCCUACGGGAGGCAGCAGUGGGGAAUAUUGGACAAUGGGCGCAAGCCUGAUCCAGCCAUGCCGCGUGUGUGAAGAAGGCCUUCGGGUUGUAAAGCAUUUUUGUCCGGAAAGAAAUCCCUGGAGCUAAUACCUUCGGGGGAUGACGGUACCGGAAGAAUAAGCACCGGCUAACUUCGUG